rnacentral:snRNA from 1 species
ACAGUAAAGUAGAUUAUGGUAA